AGUGAACGCUGGCGGUAGGCCUAACACAUGCAAGUCGAACGGCAGCACAGUAAGAGCUUGCUCUUACGGGUGGCGAGUGGCGGACGGGUGAGGAAUACAUCGGAAUCUACUUUUUCGUGGGGGACAACGUAGGGAAACUUACGCUAAUACCGCAUACGUCCUACGGGUGAAAGCAGGGGAUCUUCGGACCUUGCGCGAUUGAAUGAGCCGAUGUCGGAUUAGCUAGUUGGCGGGGUAAAGGCCCACCAGGGCGACGAUCCGUAGCUGGUCCGAGAGGAGGAUCGGCCACACUGGAACUAGAACACGGCCCAACCCCCAACGGAGGGCGGCGGUGGGGACUAUUGGACAAUGGGCGCAAGCCUGAUCCAGCCAUACCGCGUAGGUGAAGAAGGCCUUCGAGUUGUAAAGCCCUUUUGUUGGGAAAAAAAAGCAGCAGGUUAAUACCCCGCUGUUCUGACGGAACCCAAAAGAUAGGCACCGGCUAACUUCGU
rnacentral:rRNA from 1 species